rnacentral:rRNA from 1 species
AACGAACGCUGGCGGCAUGCCUAACACAUGCAAGUCGAACGAGACCUUCGGGUCUAGUGGCGCACGGGUGCGUAACGCGUGGGAACCUGCCCUUAGGUUCGGAAUAACUCCCCGAAAGGGGUGCUAAUACCGGAUAAUGUCUUCGGACCAAAGAUUUAUCGCCUUUGGAUGGGCCCGCGUUGGAUUAGCUAGUUGGUAGGGUAAAAGCCUACCAAGGCGACGAUCCAUAGCUGGUCUGAGAGGAUGAUCAGCCACACUGGGACUGAGACACGGCCCAGACUCCUACGGGAGGCAGCAGUGGGGAAUAUUGGACAAUGGGCGAAAGCCUGAUCCAGCAAUGCCGGGGGAGUGAUGAAGGCCUUAGGGUUGUAAAGCUUUUUUACCCGGGAUGAUAAUGACAGUACCGGGAGAAUAAGCCCCGGCUAACUCCGU